GAUGAACGCUGGCGGCGUGCCCAAUACAUGCAAGUCGAGCGAACGGACGAGAAGCUUGCUUUUCUGAUGUUAGCGGCGGACGGGUGAGUAACACGUGGAUAACCUACCUAUAAGACUGGGAUAACUUCGGGAAACCGGAGCUAAUACCGGAUAAUAUUUUGAACCGCAUGGUUCAAAAGUGAAAGACGGUCUUGCUGUCACUUAUAGAUGGAUCCGCGCUGCAUUAGCUAGUUGGUAAGGUAACGGCUUACCAAGGCAACGAUGCAUAGCCGACCUGAGAGGGUGAUCGGCCACACUGGAACUGAGACACGGUCCAGACUCCUACGGGAGGCAGCAGUAGGGAAUCUUCCGCAAUGGGCGAAAGCCUGACGGAGCAACGCCGCGUGAGUGAUGAAGGUCUUCGGAUCGUAAAACUCUGUUAUUAGGGAAGAACAUAUGUGUAAGUAACUGUGCACAUCUUGACGGUACCUAAUCAGAAAGCCACGACUAACUACGUG
rnacentral:rRNA from 1 species